ACCCCACCCCAGCACACACCCUGACACUGCAGCACUGUGACUCUCCAUUGUCUAUUCACAGGGACAAACACAUCAGAGCUGAUCCAAAAAGGACAAUUUACAAGGAAUGUGUGACCGUAAGAACACACCAGUGCCAGAGGGCUCGCUGGAGCAACACACUUGAUAAGGUUUUGUGACUGCUACAGUGAGAAAGGCUGAGCUAGGCAGAGAAGACAGUUCUGGGGACGCUUGAGACUGGAAGGGCUUUUGGUGUCACCCUCCAAGGAGUAACCAGGCUGGUGGAAGCUAUGGCUCUAGCACUCCAGUCCCAAACUCCCCAGCUAGUCCAGAGAACCUGCCAAUGGAGGAGUUGUGACAUUCUUCUGAGUACCAGAGAACUACAAUCACUGAAAAUAUAACACUUCGGAUACCCAGGGAGAUGAUCUUUGAAUCCUUGUCUGUAGCUGGACAUCCUUCAAAAAUGUUUGGUCAGUGACUCGGGGAUUUCCACUGGAACUGUUACCAUGAAUCACUCAGCUCCUGACUUGUGCAAUGAGAGAAAGUAGAAAUAAA